rnacentral:rRNA from 1 species
CAAUAGCGUAUAUUAAAGUUGUUGCAGUUAAAAAGCUCGUAGUUGGAUUUCUGUUCUCGGGGAUUGGUCCGCCUCACGGUGAGCACUGGUAUCCUGGGGACAUCCUCUCGAAGGCGGGUGGUGCACUUAAUUGUGUGCUGCUUGGAUUCGGGACCUUUACUUUGAAAAAAUUAGAGUGUUUCAAGCAGGCAAUUGCAGGAAUACAUUAGCAUGGAAUAACGAAUGGGUCUACAAUUUGGUUGAUUGUAGAUUGCGAUUAAUAGGGACAGUUGGGGGCAUUAGUAUUUAAUUGUCAGAGGUGAAAUUCUUGGAUUAGUUAAAGACUAACGUAUGCGAAAGCAUUUGCCAAGGAUGUUUUCAUUAAUCAAGAACGAAAGAUUGGGGAUCAAAGACGAUUAGAUACCAU